rnacentral:sRNA from 1 species
AAAACAGAGAGAAAAU